AACAGGAUUAGAUACCCUGGUAGUCCACGCCGUAAACGAUGUCGACUUGGAGGUUGUGCCCUUGAGGCGUGGCUUCCGGAACUAACGCGUUAAGUCGACCGCCUGGGGAGUACGGCCGCAAGGUUAAAACCCAAAUGAAUUGACGGGGGCCCGCACAAGCGGUGGAGCAUGUGGUUUAAUUCGAUGCAACGCGAAGAACCUUACCUACUCUUGACAUCCAGAGAACUUAGCAGAGAUGCUUUGGUGCCUUCGGGAACUCUGAGACAGGUGCCGCAUGGCUGUCGUCAGCUCGUGUUGUGAAAUGUUGGGUUAAGUCCCGCAACGAGCGCAACCCUUAUCCUUUGUUGCCAGCGGUUAGGCCGGGAACUCAAAGGAGACUGCCAGUGAUAAACUGGAGGAAGGUGGGGAUGACGUCAAGUCAUCAUGGCCCUUACGAGUAGGGCUACACACGUGCUACAAUGGCAUAUACAAAGAGAAGCGACCUCGCGAGAGCAAGCGGACCUCAUAAAGUAUGUCGUAGUCCGGAUUGGAGUCUGCAACUCGACUCCAUGAAGUCGGAAUCGCUAGUAAUCGUGGAUCAGAAUGCCACGGUGAAUACGUUCCCGGGCCUUGUACACACCGCCCGUCACACCAUGGGAGUGGGUUGCAAAAGAAGUAGGUAGCUUAACCUUCGGGAGGGCGCUUACCACUUUGUGAUUCAUGACUGGGGUGAAGUCGUAACAAGGUAACC
rnacentral:rRNA from 1 species